AUGUUCUCUGACAAGUCGGCCUAUGCGGCAAGGUUUGCAGGGCGUGAGGUGUCUAUUACAGCUCAAUUCACAUGGAAAUCCAAGGCACCAUUACGCUGUUGCUUCUUCCUCUGGCUUGCAAUGAAAAACCGAUGCUGGACGGCAGAUCGUCUUGCUCGACGAGGCCUACCACACCCGGAUACCUGCCCGUUCUGCGACCAACAGGAAGAGACUUUGGAUCACAUCGAGCUAACAUGUGUCUUUGCGCGGAUGAUCUGGAGAACACUAUGCACCACGAUUGGCAAGCCGGCUUGGACUCCGGAGGGGCAUGAAACCUUGGUGGGUUGGUGC
rnacentral:rRNA from 1 species